CCAACUGGUAUGCCGACGCAGUAAGGAGC
rnacentral:sRNA from 1 species